GCUAGGCCCCGCCCCCGUGCGCGCCUCCGACGCCGCGCGCCCGCGCCUUCCCAGUGACCCUUCACCCAGGUCAGCGUACAGUUUGACGGCCUCCUGGAGUAGAUUGAAUUCGGACCCACCCUUGGGGGUCCGAUAAAAAGAGCUUCACAGGCCUCAUGUUGACAUUGACGUGACAAAAGCUUAUACCUUUUCAAGAUUUGCAACUCCACUCUGGAACAGCAUGGAAUCUGUUUGUAUUGUUCAGUGUCUGUCGCCCAGGGAAGAAGAAAAGACUAACAUUUAGAAAAGACACUUGAGCAGAAAACAGUGUCAGAGAGGUGGAGAUGGGGA
ensembl:lncRNA